GGCAGGCAGCAGCAAAGCUGCGCCUACUUCCCUGCCACCCCAUCUGUAGCUCGUCUGUGCCACCUGCAGCGCUAUGUUUGGAAGAGUUUUCAGAGAGCAUAUGUAAAGCCACACAAUUUCCUGUGCUGAUGAUACUUGUCUUUUCUAGAUCAGUAUCCAGCAAGUCAUCCCAAGUUUUGCAGAUGGAAGAAACACACCUCCUGAUUUUUACAUUUUUUUAUAUCUCUGCCAGUAAGCUACCUUUCUGCUUCUCUAGUCAAGCGUUUCUUUUCCUACGGGCGUUUUCUUGAGCUUCUUCAGACAGUUUUAAUUUUGAAGCUCCGCAUCUUUCACAUUCCUGCAUUUGUGCUCCAUUGGAAACCUUGCCUCACCAACCAACAAAACAGCCAUGUAGCAGAAGUGGUAGGAGGCACCAGCAGCUACACCUCUAUAUCCCAGCAGAGACAGCAGCUGCCUGUCUUCAGUGACUUGUCCAGGCAGAAGAAGGACAGUUGCACCGGCACCUAGACCCGCCUUCCCUCCUCUACGAAAGGAGAAAGGAGAAAGCUGGAAGGAAGAAAAGGUCGAGAGCGACCGCGGCAAAAGCGAGGACUUGGCCCGGGUCAGGACUGCCGGGCUGGUGUGGCAGCAGCGCUCGCAGCCCUCGGGGCCGCACAUGCAGCACGGCAGAGCAGCGUCUGCUCUUGGCAUCGCCAGGCACUUCCUCAGGGACACUGAGCACGUUAAGCUCUAAGUACCUCAUCUGGGAAAGGGAGCAAAGCUAUUUUUAGUCCCCCCAAGAGUCUAAAACAGAGCUAGAUAAGAUUAACGGACAUUUGUGGAGAUUACCAAGAGUUAAAAGUAGAGGUCAAACUCCCACGGUGCUCAUUCUCUCUUUUAGCCUAGAGUGACUACAUUUUUGAGGUGAAGGAAGGGGAAACAAUGGGGAGCGUUUUGUUUGUCUGAAAUCUUUGGGGAUUUAAAACCCCCAAACCUUUAAAUAAUGCUAUGAAGAGAUUACAGCUGAUGCCCAAUGUUUUAUUUUUCAAAAAAAGUCCUUUGUUCAAGGAGACUCCUGCAAAAAUGUGUUGUCUUAGACCAGGGUGCUUGAAAAUAUACCAUUUCAGAAUAA